UACGUAGGCAGCGAGCGUUGUUCGGAAUUACUGGGCGUACAGAGUGUGUAGGCGGUGCUCUAAGUUCGGUGUGAAAUCUCCUGGCUUAACUGGGAGGGUGCGCCGGAAACUGGAGUGCUUGAGCGUGGGAGAGGAAAGCGGAAUUCCUGGUGUAGCGGUGAAAUGCGUAGAUAUCAGGAGGAACACCUGUGGUGUAGACGGCUUUCUGGACCAUUGCUGACGCUGAGACACGAAAGCGUGGGUAGCAAACAGG
rnacentral:rRNA from 1 species